rnacentral:rRNA from 1 species
AAAUUGAAGAGUUUGAUCAUGGCUCAGAUUGAACGCUGGCGGCAGGCCUAACACAUGCAAGUCGAACGGUAACAGGAAACAGCUUGCUGUUUCGCUGACGAGUGGCGGACGGGUGAGUAAUGUCUGGGAAACUGCCCGAUGGAGGGGGAUAACUACUGGAAACGGUAGCUAAUACCGCAUAACGUCGCAAGACCAAAGAGGGGGACCUUCGGGCCUCUUGCUAUCGGAUGUGCCCAGAUGGGAUUAGCUAGUAGGUGGGGUAACGGCUCACCUAGGCGACGAUCCCUAGCUGGUCUGAGAGGAUGACCAGCCACACUGGAACUGAGACACGGUCCAGACUCCUACGGGAGGCAGCAGUGGGGAAUAUUGCACAAUGGGCGCAAGCCUGAUGCAGCCAUGCCGCGUGUAUGAAGAAGGCCUUCGGGUUGUAAAGUACUUUCAGCGGGGAGGAAGGGAGUAAAGUUAAUACCUUUACUCAUUGACGUUACCCGCAGAAGAAGCACCGGCUAACUCCGUGCCAGCAGCCGCGGUAAUACGGAGGGUGCAAGCGUUAAUCGGAAUUACUGGGCGUAAAGCGCACGCAGGCGGUUUGUUAAGUCAGAUGUGAAAUCCCCGGGCUCAACCUGGGAACUGCAUCUGAUACUGGCAAGCUUGAGUCUCGUAGAGGGGGGUAGAAUUCCAGGUGUAGCGGUGAAAUGCGUAGAGAUCUGGAGGAAUACCGGUGGCGAAGGCGGCCCCCUGGACGAAGACUGACGCUCAGGUGCGAAAGCGUGGGGAGCAAACAGGAUU